rnacentral:rRNA from 1 species
CACGUAGGGAGCAAGCGUUGUCCGGAUUUAUUGGGCGUAAAGAGCUCGUAGGCGGUUCGGUAAGUCGGGUGUGAAAACUUGAGGCUCAACCUCAAGAGGCCACUCGAUACUGCUGUGACUAGAGUCCGGUAGAGGAGUGUGGAAUUCCUGGUGUAGCGGUGAAAUGCGCAGAUAUCAGGAGGAACACCGACAGCGAAGGCAGCACUCUGGGCCGGUACUGACGCUGAGGAGCGAAAGCAUGGGGAGCAAA